rnacentral:ncRNA from 1 species
UUCUUGCAGUGACGCCUUCAGAAGCCUUUGCAGCCCCGCAAGGGGCACCUGAACGACUCUAAACAAGAAUCAGGUGUUAAAUUGCAAGUCAGCCCGGCGCUGGCGACACUUUCGAAUUGCGGGGACGCCCUAAAGCCCACGCUACCAACCGGCUGAGGAAACUCGGCUGGGGCCCGUGCUAACGACACGGGGUAUGGUAACAAUGUGAUGGGAUAAGCAGUAUGGGUGAUCCGCAGCCAAGUCCCUACAGCCCGCUUCGGGCCACGGGAAAGGUUCACAGACUAAGUGGAAGUGGGUUGGUUGGCCUAGGGAGCCGGCCGGCUUAAGAUAUAGUCGGGCCUGGCGGGAAACCGCUGGGG